GAAGUAAGAAACCUAAAGGCCAAACUUGACAAGGCUCUUGAGCCCAAGAUUACCUUUGCCAUCGAUAAAUCAAACUUUCGAAAAAGUAUGGUUAAUCCAUAUCAAAAAUAUAAAUAUGUUAUAAAGGAUGAAGAUAGCAAAGGCAAUUAAAAUGUAAAGUUCUCUUACCUUUAUUGUUGCAAGAAAGGCCACUCCAUUGCUAAAUGCAGGUUUAGGAGAUUCUUAGUUCCUAAAGGCAUUUAUCA
rnacentral:lncRNA from 1 species